AGUGAACGCUGGCGGUAGGCCUAACACAUGCAAGUCGAACGGCAGCACAGUAAGAGCUUGCUCUUACGGGUGGCGAGUGGCGGACGGGUGAGGAAUACAUCGUAAUCUACUUUUUCGGGGGGGUUAACGUAGGGAAACUUACGCUAAUACCGCAUACGACCUACGGUUGAAAGCAGGGGAUCUUCUGACCUUGCGCGAUUGAAUUAGCCGAUGUCGGAUUAGCUAGUUGGCGGGGUAAAGGCCCACCAAGGCGACGAUCCGUAGCGGGGCUGAGAGGAUGGAGAGCGCCACUGAAGCUGAGACACGGUCCAGGCACCGACGGGAGGCAGCAGUGGGGAAGAUUGGACAAUGGGCGCAAGCUUGAACCAGGCAUGCCGGGUGGGUGAAGAAGGCCUGCGGGUGUAAAGCCCUUUUGUUGGGAAAGAAAAGCAGCAGGUUAAUACCCCGCUGUUCUGACGGUACCCAAAGAAUAAGCACCGGCUAACUUCGUG
rnacentral:rRNA from 1 species